rnacentral:lncRNA from 1 species
GCAUAUUUUGUUUCCUCUCUGAAUAAAAUUUCAAUGUUUCAAACAUAUGCAGGUAUGUGACAAUUCUCUCAUUCUGUAUAUGUGUAUGGAAAGAAGUAAUUAUGCUUCAUUUUAUUAAAUCAAAGGUAAUAAUCUCUUUAAGGUAUACUAUGUUAUUUUAUGUACUUCUAGGAAAGGAAAAAUACCUAAUAUGGAGAAUCUAAAAGCAGGCUGACAUUAAAUUAGGACACCCAAAACUACAUUCUUUGUGUAAGAUGAAAAAAUGAACUUGUCACACUAACAGAGACAGCACAAAAAUUUUCAUAUCUCAACUUUAGUUGUUGGUGAAAGAGGAGAAAAAAGUUUUCCUGUUAAUUUAAACCACAAACCAGUACUCAGAUUUGUGCUGUCAGUGUGAUCCAAAAUAAUUCUCAAGAAGAUUUUAGUUUAAUUUAAUUUAAUUAUUUUCAAGAAGUCUCAGGUUGAUAGUCUCCUAGUAGAGCGGCAGAAGGAAGCACAAACCCUCCCGCAAGAACCAUACCCAGUCAGGAGUGAUGGAGAGAUAUGUUUGAAUUUUACAAAUACUAAAGUGUGAAAAAAAAUGUAUGUUUUAGAAUCAAUCAAAUGUGAAAUAUCUUGAUUUUUCCUAGAAAUUUAUUUAAAAUUCAUAUAAUGCAUAAAACUUUGAAGUCAUUAAUAAGAAAAUAUUUAGUAAGAAUUUGCUGUCUGUCAUGUACUGGGUUAUUUUACCAACAUACCUAAAGCUUUUAUGUACAAAGCCACAAAAAGUCUAAUCAUAGUUAAAUGUAUUACUAUAUGAAAAAAUAUAAAUAUAAAAUGUUAGUCCUUAAACAUAGAUGCAUUCUUCAAGAGCCUAUGGAAGAGAAGGCGUUUGACUUGCCUUUCUGUGUUUUUCUUUUUCUUUUUUUGGUACUGGGGAUUGAACUCAGGGGUACUUAAUCACUUAGCCACAUCUCCAGCCUUUUUUAUAUUUUAUUUAGAGACAGGGUCUCACAGAGUUGCUUAGCACUUUGCUAAAUUGCUGAGGCUGGCUUUGAACUCCAGAUACCCUAACCCUAACCCUAACCCUGCCUCAGCCUCCCGGGCCAUUGGGAUUACAUGCAUGCACCACUGUACCCUGCCUGGGUUUUCUUUUGGAGCUAAAUAUCUAUACUCAGCUCAGUUUUUCCUUACUCACCUGGUCUCCUGAUAAUCAUUUCUUUAGUACUAGUCACCAUUAAAGCCCAGUCACCCAUUGAAUGUCAGUUUCAGUGAAAGCCAUGUUUAUUAUCCUCUUUGCAGGACUGCAUCAGAGACAAAAUAAUGAAACACUUAAUUCACUUAAUUAGUAAUCCACUACCUACACUAAAUUACGUGCUGUAACUAGGUAAUUCAGAAUUUUCUUUUUAAAUGAAGCAUUUGGGAUGAUGCCUGAUAUUCCUGACAUGUGAUAUUUUAUGUGAUUUUUCCCCCCAGAGGUCACUACAGUUUCACCUUCAAAAGGAAGCACUGGAGGUGGCACCACACUAACAAUAAGUGGGAGAUUCUUUGAUCAAACAGAUCUCCCAGUGAAAGUUCUAGUUGGAGGUAUUUUUCAUGAUGCUUAAUAUACUAACUUAUAGGAGUAAAUUCUGCCUAUUCUUGUUUAAUUUGUAAGAAAAAUAAUAGUCUUUUCUCUGUUGUCAUUCAUUUAAAGCUGGGGAUAUUCACGCAGCAUUUUGUUCUGGGCUCCAUGCUCUUCCUUCUGCUAUUUUUCCAUGAGGGCCACUCCUUGCAGCCCUUAGUGGACACUUUAUCUCUAAGAGUCACCAACAGGCAUUUGUGGCAGCAUCGUCACUGCCAUCCACAAAUUCCCCACCACAGUUAAGAACACACCCAUUCUCUAUUUAAUAAGCUCUUAAAUCCCCUUGAACUUCUGUUACUUCCAAAAAGUUAUUUAAUUAUGAUGGAAUUUAAUUAGCAUUUUGGCAUAUUCUGCUCUUACUUUUUCAUAUACUGUGCAUUAGUAGUUUGGCAUGAUACAGGCCUUGGAAAAAGCAUAAAUAGGGCUUGGUUCUCUAGGUAUGGGUCACUUUUAUGUGUCUGUUCUGGAUCUAUGUAGAGAUAGUGAACCAUGUAGCUGAAAAGGGAGGUUGGGAUGAAUGUCACAGUGGUACUCUUUCCAUUGAGUCAUAGGAUAUCACUUUCUUGAUAUGUAGAGGACAGGAUGCUCACUCUUGUAACUGGGUACGUACAUUUUUCUUCUCACAGCCCCCUUGCUGGGGUAUCUUCUACCUUUUAAGGAAUCUUCCUAUGAGUCUGCCAAAAUGUGAUUUCAGAAGAGAAGAGAAACAGAUAUAAAACAACUUCUAAUAUAUGUACAAUAGCUUUCUAGCCCACAUGAAUCCUUGUUGAUCACCUGCCCAACUGUUAAAACAUAAGAUUUUUGACAUUCAUAUAACAUAUUAUUUGGAUCAGAUUUUAUAUUUUCAAUAUUAAAAUCAGGGUAUAAAAUACUUGUAAUUUAUAUAAUAUGCUUUCUUAUCUGAUAUUGUGUCUAUUUUGAUUAGGAUACAGUUGAUGUGCCAAAAGGAUGUCAGAUUUCUAUUCUAUAUCAUUGCCAUUAAUAUGGCAACCAUAUUGAGAUUUGGAAUCAUUGAUAAUUUUUUAAAGAUAAUGAUCCUUAUAGGAAUGUUUACUGUGCUUCCAGUAAAAUGGACUGUGGGUUUAAUAUAUUAUUUGAAUUCACAAUUUCCUAUUUUAAUUUUCUUGUAUCCAUAAGCCAUUCAAAUAGUGAAAGCAUUAAAAGUUUACAUUUUCCAGGCCACCAAACAGAAACUGGCAAAGGUAUCUCUCUCCAUUUUUCUUGUCCUUAUGUUUGUUAACUCUAGUAAAUACUGAGGGCUGACCCUCAAGAGGCAAACACAGAGAUCUUAAAAGAGACUCUUCUAUCAAGUCUAAUUAUGUUUAUGUAGAAGUUAUAAUUUUUUCUCUUUAGACCCUUGUCCAUUUGGGACACAGUUUUUCUGUUAAAAUACCAUUUCAAAAUUAUUGUCCCUGUUGUUUUAAUUUUAAGAACUUGGACUAAACCACCAUUUUUCCUACUUAAGAGGUCUGGGAUCACCUUAAAUUCUGGACAUCAUGAGCAUUCUGCAACUUUGAGAAACAAAACAAGUCUUCACUUUUACAAAGAUACAGUUUUAUCUAGUUUUUCAUAUUUUUUCUCAGAAACUGGAAUUUUCUAAUUCAGACUUGCAAUAUUUUACCAGAAAAAUUUUCCAUUUAUGGAAGUAUAACAAUUAAUGAUACUUAUUAUUAAGCCAAUGAUAAGGUUUCAUGUAGAAUAUUUAAAUGCAAUAAAGGGCCCCAAUUUUGUCACUUGCUUAUGCAACUUUGAUUUUAAUUGAAAAAAUAAUUCAAGAUAGGCUGAUGUGAUAUUCAUUAUAAAGCUUCAUUUGUAACAGUUCUGCAUUUUGCUUCUGUAUAGGUCAAACCUGUGGUAUUCUGAAUGUCACAGAAAAUAGUAUAUAUUGCAAGACACCCCCCAAACCUCCUAUUCUCAAAACUGUAUAUCCAGGUAAGUUAUCAUAAGAGAGAAUAACAAUUUCUAUGUUUGCAAUAAAGGAAUAUUAUUAACACAUAGCAUUAGUCAAAAAAUAUUAUUUGAACUUUUUUAGAAUUUGUGGUGAAAAUUAUAAUAAAUGUGAGUUUUAAAUUAUAUUUUCUGUAUUAGGAGACAUUUGUAUUAAAAUAGCUGCAUUAAAGCUGCAUCUGUGGAGAUAAACUCAGCCUGGUCUCCUGACACCCUACUAGAAGAGCAUUUCUCUAUUGAUAGAGUAUAAUGGUACCUUUAUUUCAUAGUCUUUAUGAAAAUAUUUAAAAUGCCUUUUCCUGGUUGAAAAAAAAAGGCAGGGGUUAAAUCCUUACUUUUUUAGAAUGGUUUGAGAAUGAAAACAAACCAUGAAAGAAAUGUCAUUCGAAGUUCUUUUCAGACUUUCCCCUUGCAGUACAUGGCCUUCCCAGCUACACAAUUCCAGUGGAGUGCCUGCCAGUGUUUGAGUGGGGCAUGUGUCUCUUAUCCUGCGCACACAUUGAAAUCUAUUUACAGUUGUGUCAUUGUUGGUAUUUGGAGCCUAAUAAAUUCUGUUUGCCAAACUCUUAAACUUCUUUGUUUCAAAUAUUUGAAAAAAGUCUCACCAGUUUAAAAAGAUAAUUUUGAUAUUUGUAAUUGGUAACUUUAGAGAAAGUUGUACGUAUCAGGAAAUGCUGGUGCUAUAGGAGGCUGAUGUGUUCAGUCUUUUCUUCAUUUGUAACAUAUCCAAAUGCAGCUGAACAGAAGUAGUCAUUAUUUUCCAGAUUCAGGCAGGCUUAAGGCUGCUGAAAGAAGGCAUGAGCACAACAGUUUUGCAUUUUAAGGAAAAAAGAAAAAGAUGUGAUAGCAAAUUUCUGAUUAAGAAAAACUUCAUAUGUACUGGCAAGUGUAGUUACGUUUUAUUGAGAGUAUUCUCUGAUUCUAUCCAAGACAGGAUGAAAUCUUAGCACAAAAGCAAUGUUUAAAAAAGAAGAAAAAAACCCAGAAAAACAAAUGCUAAGCAAUAUCUUAAAGCUAACAAUCUAUUUUCCUUGAUUAAUGGCUUUGUAAGCCAUUUAGAAUAAACAAGUCAAAUAUUUUGUAAUCAAAUGGUUUGGAUUAUGAAGUUUUGAGACUUCACUAUAUGAAGCAACAUUAGUUAUAGCAUAAGUAACUAAUUAUUAUGUAUCAUUAUCUUUAUGUAAAGUUCUAUUUAGUGCCAGAUAUUUUACAUAUAUAGCAUAUAAAAUCCCCAAUGGAAACCAUUCAAAUAAUAUUAUUAUUCACUUCUAACAUGUGUGGUAAUGGAGGCUCAGAUAAAUAUAAUAAUAAUAAAUAAAUUGUAGAUUGCCCUAAUUGCACUCUGUCCUCUGGGAACAAGUACAUGUAGGGAUACAUAUAAUUCAUUUAGUUUCACACAUGAUCUAAAAAUGUUAAUUGACAUAGGACAUCUAUAAUCACCACUCAAAUAUAAGGCCAUUGAGACAUUGCAUCAUGACUUUGAUGAAUGGCUUCUUUUGUUUCAUUAUAUUUAGGUGGGAGAGGUCUAAAACUUGAGGUAUGGAAUAACAGCCGACCAGUACAUCUUGAGGAGAUACUUGGAUAUAAUGAAAAAACGCCAGGGUAUAUGGGUGCCAGUUGGGUAGACUCAGCUUCCUAUGCCUGGCCCAUGGAACAAGAUACAUUUGUUGCACGCUUCAGUGGAUUUUUGGUGGCUCCAGAUUCUGAUGUUUAUAGAUUCUACAUCAAAGGUGAUGACCGUUAUGCCAUUUAUUUCAGCCAGACUGGACUUCCAGAAGAUAAGGUAGGGAGACUGCAAAACACUACUUGAUAUUAUAAAAAUAGCGUGAUGAUCUUCGUAUGUAUCUCACUUAUUCUAAGUAAAAAAUCAAUGAAUAUAUUAAAGAAUUUAUGAGAAAUGAUUUCAUGUGAUCAGUUUCUUUGCUAUUUUAACACAUGAUACAAAUUUGUAGAAAACCCAUAGCUUAAAAGAAAAUUAUGUCUCAUGUGUAACUUUUCUCUGCAAAGGAAAAUAUGCAUACACUUACUUUAUACAUUUGAAAGAUUUCUUUUAUUAUGAAAGAAUUAUAGCCACAAUAAAGGAUACAGAAAAACAAUGAAAAAGUUUCACUACUCUACAUUUACUUGGUUAUGAGAUGGAAGUCUGUCUUUUCUUUUUAACCUCUAUUUUCUUUUUUAUAUAAAGGAUCAUAAAAGAUUAGUGUCAUCUUUUGUCACAUAGUAUUAAAUACAAAAUUUGGUCAUCAUUUUUUAAUGACUGAAUAGUAUGUUAUUACAUGGGCUUAUUAAGUUAGUCAAAUACCCUCCUACUAAUAAAUUAAAAACUUCCUUCUGAUUUUUUAUGACCACAAUUAAAACUUUAUUAGACAUCUAUAGUCAUUAGUUUAUUUUGUAUUUUGUCAUAGUACCUCAGGACAGGAGGGUUUCAAAGGAUAGUUUCACAAGUGUGAAACUGACCAAUCAAAUCAAAAUCAUAUUUUAUGAUGCAAUUUAUAUGACAAGAUUUCUUCACAAAUGGGUUUAUAUAACUUUAAAUUGCUUUUGUAAUUUAUGAAUUCCAGUUUACCAUAAUUUCUUGGCAUUUUUACUCCAAAGAUGACAUUAGUGGGAAGCCCAAAGUCCUCUCUCUGUACUACGAAGAACCAUUCAACAAUCUUUGGUAUCUUUCAGGGCUACCUCUAAAUUUAUAAUUUGUAUCAAAUCUUUGAAAGUUCUCCACAGAGCAAAAGAAUGAUUAAUAAUAACACAUUCUACCAGUAUGUUUUCUCUUAUUGUCCAUUGCAGUGCUAAUUAUGGAAAGCCAUGAUCUGUGCAGUAUACUCAGUAGAGUGGAAUUGGUGUGAGUGAAGGGUAAAGUGAUGAAGUGAGCUUGCAUAAUUUUUAAAAACUCUAUGUUGUCAGGGAUAACGGAUCUUAGAAGAAUAGCAUCAGGAUUACAAUACUGAUAAAAAUAAUUAGAUGUUUAAAAUAUUAAAAAUUGUCUUUUUAUUCUCUGCUUUUCUGGGAUAAGGUGAGGAUUGCAUAUCAUUCUGCCAAUGCCAACAGUUAUUUUUCCAGUCCAACGCAAAGAUCAGAUGAUAUUCAUCUUCAGAAAGGAAAAGAGUAAGGUGUUUUUCUUGCCAUAAAGUGAUUGUUUGAUAUUUUAAAAAUGUAAGCUCAUAUUUUAAAAUCUUUUAAUUUGUUUUCAUUGGUGGGCAUGAUAGUUAAUUGCUUGAAUUUACAAUUGGUCAUUCUUUAUAAUUUUAUUAAAGUUUGCUUCUAUAUCUUCAGGAAUACUGACAUUUAGCUAACCAGGUACAUUUGAAAUUUAAUUUAACCUUGUUGCAGAAACUAUAAUUUUGUGAAAUUUACUUAAUCCUGAUUUUCAUUCUUUUCAGGACUUUUCAUUCACUCCAAUUCUCUAGUGUCUUUGUUCCAAUGUCUGAGCACUUGAAUGUUGCUAGGGAAAAAAAUCACAAAAUCCCAUGAACUGGUAACACUUCUAAUAUAUAUUUAUUAUUUGCUGAUUUAUCCCAGGCCCUGGAACAGGCACUUGAAAUCUAAUACAAACAAUAUUAAAUAAAAUCCCUCCUCAUAAGGAACAUGAAAUCUAGUAUUGAAAGGUCAACUCCAGAAAGCAAAUGAAAGUAUUAUUCAAAUAGCAGAUAAUCACAUUCAAAAUGCUAUUCAGGAUUCCUAGAAAACAGGAAGAUAAGAGACAUGAUAUAUUCAAAAUGAGUAUGUUCCAUAGAGAACGUCAAAAGAUGUGUUAAUAUCAUUUUUUAUUUACUAUUUGUAUGUGUUAGGUUUUUAAAUUUUUUAAAUUUGUUCCUUUUAGAUAUACAUGCAGUAGAGUAUAUUUUGACAUAUUAUACCUACAUGGAAUAUAACUUAUUUUAAUUAAAAUCUCAUUCUUGUGGGUUGUACAUAAUGUGGAGUUUCACUGUUGGUGUAUUCAUGUAUGAACAUAGGAAUGUUAUAUCAGAUUUAUUUAUUCCACUCUUUCCUAUUCCUUAUUCCCUGCCCUUCCCUUUAUUCCCCUUUGUCUAAUCAGCUGAACUUCUACUCUUAUCUUACCCCCAUUGCUGUGUGUUAGAAUCUACAUAUCAGAGAGAACACUUGACCUUUGGUUUGGGGGAUUGGCUUAUUUCACUUAGCAUGAUAGUCUCCAGAUCCAUCAUUUACCAGCAAAAAUCAUGAGGUCAUUUUUUUAAGGGCCAAGUAAUUUCUGUUGUGCAUAUAUACCACAUUUUCUUUAUCCAUUCAUCUGUUGAUGGGCACCAAGGUUGGUUCUAUAGCUUAGCUAUUGUGAGUUGAGCUGCUAUAAACAUUGAUGUGGCUGUGUCACUGUAGUAUGCUUAUUUUAACUGUAACUCCUUUGAAUAUAUACCAAGGAAUGGUAUAAACAGGUCAAAUAAUGCUUCCAGUCUUAAUUUUUGAGGAAUCUCGAUACUAUUUUCCAGACUGCUUGCAUCAAUUUGCAAUCCUACCAGCAACAUAUAAGUGUACCCUUUCCCCCACAUGCUCACCAAUAUUAUUUGUUGAUUACAUUCUUGAUUGUUGCCCUUCUGACUGGAAUGAGAUAAAAUCUCAAUAUAGUUUUAAUUUCCAUUUCUGUAAUUUUUAGAGAUGUUGAACAAUUUUUCAUGUUUGUUGACUGUUUGUAUUUAUUCUUCUGUGAAGUGCCUUUUCAAUUCCUUUGCCCAUUUAUUGAGUAAUUUGGGUUUUUUGGGUUAAACUUUUUGAGUUCUUUAUAUAUCCUGGAGAUUAAUCCUCUGUCAGAGGUGCAAGUGACAAAGAUUUUCUUUCAUUCUGUGGGCUCUCUCUUCAUGCUUUGGAUUGUUUCAUUUGCUGUGAAAAAGCUUUUUAGUUUGAUAAUGUUCCAUUUAUUGAUUCUUGAUUUUACUUCUUGAGCUUUAGAAUUUUGUUGAGGAAGUCAGUUCCUAGGCCAACAAGAUGAAGAGUUGGGCCUAUGCAUUCUUCUGGUACGUGUACAAUUUCUGGUCUAAUGCCUAUGUCCUUGACCCACUUUCAGUUGAGUUUUGUGAAGGGUGAGAGAUAGGGAUUAAGUUUUAUUCUACAACAUAUUUCCAGUUUUCCCAGAACCAUUUUUUGAAGAGGCUAUCUUUUCUCCAAUGUAUGUUUUUGGUGCCUUUGUCUAGUAUGAGAUAACUGUAUUUAUGUGGAUUUGUCUCUGUGUCUUCUAUUCUUUAUCAUUGGCCAUCUUGCCUGCUUUGGUGCCAAUACAAUUGUAUAUUUGUUACUGUAACUCCGUAGUAUAAUUUAAUGUCUGGUAUUGUGAUGCCUCCUGCCUCACUUUUCUUGCUAAAGAUUGCUUUGGUUAUUCUGAGCCUCCUGUUUUUCCAAAUAAAUUUUAUGACUGCUUUUUCUAUUUCUAUGAAGAACAAUAUUGGAAUUUAAUGGGAAUUGCAUUAAAUCUCAAUAGCGCUUUGGGUAGUAUGGCCGUUUUGACAAUAUUAAUUCUGCCUAUCCAAGAACAUGGGAGGUCUUUCUAUCUCCUAAGGUCUUCUUCAAUUUCUUUCUUUAGUGUUCUGUAGUUUUCACUGUGGGUCUUUCACCUCUUCUAUUAGAUUGAUUCCCAAGUAUUUUGUUUUUUGAGGCUACUGUGAAUGGGAGAAUUUUCCUAAUUUCUCUUUCAGCUGAUUCAUCAUUGGUGUAUAGGAAUGCAAUUGCUUUAUGGGUAUCAAUUUUAUAUCCUGCUACUUUUCUGAGUUUGUUUAUGAAUUCUACAAGUUUUCUGGUGAAGUGUUUUGGGUCUUCGAAAUAUAGGAUCAUGAUUUUGGCAAAUAGGGAUAGUUUGAGCUCUUCUUUUCCUAUUUGUAUCCUUAAUUUUUUUCUAUUGCCUACUUGCUCAGGCUACAGUUUCAAGGACUAUGUUGAGUAGAAGUGAUAAAAUAGGGCAUUCCUGUCUUAUUCCAGUUUUUAGAGGAUAUGUUUUUUUCUCUGUGUAGAAUGAUGUUGACCUUGGUUUUAACAUAUGUAUCUGUUCGGUUUUACUACAUAGCAAACCACUCUAGCCUAAAGGCUUCAAAUAAUAAAUGUUUAUUAUUUCACACAAUUUUGUCAUUGGCUGGACAGUUCAUUUGUUCCUGGCCUGUUUAGUUUGGGAUUGAUGAUCUAGGAUGACCUAAAUUCCAUUUGUGCAUCUCAGAUGGCAUGAUUGGCACUGAGAUAUGGGGAGCAUCUCAUCCUACAUGAUUUCUUAUAUUCCAGGAGCUUAACCCAAGCUUGUCUUGUUCAUGGAUAGGUUCCCAACAAUAAUGAUAGCAAUUACUAUCAAACACACACUUUUAAAUAUUUGUUUUUGUCACAUUUGCUUCUAUCCCAUUGACCAUAGCAAAUGGUCAAGCAUAGAUUCAAGGGAUGAAGAAAUAGACUUUCAUUUUCCCAGAGACUGUCCAAAGUCAGUUCAUGUUUCCAGUUCAUUCUGCAGAUAUCAGAAUAUCAGGUAUCAUUUCAUCUAAGUACAGAUCUUUUUGGUCAAUUUUUUAAAGCAUUUUAACUAGUGCAUUAUAGUGAUACAUAGUAUUAAGGUUAAUUUUGGCAUAAUUAAACAUUCAUGGAAUUUAAUUUGCUCUACUUUCAGUCACCAGUACUUCCUCUUUUCUACCUCUCCUUCUUUCCCCUAGUUCCCCUUCCUCUAUUCUACUGGUCUUCCUUCUAUUUAUUUAUAGUUUUUGUAAAUUGUUGCUUUGCAGAUAUACAUAAAGGUGGAAUUCAUUAGGACAUAUUCAUAUACCACAUGUCAUAAUUUGGUCAAUUUAAUUCCACAGUUCCUCCCUUUUAGUGUCCUCCUCCCUCCCUAUCUUUUCCUCUACCUUAGUGAUCUCCUUCUAUUUUCAUGUAUUUCUCCCCUACACUUUUCCCCUUUAUUUGACUCUAGCUUCUGUAUAUGAAAUAAAACAUCCAAUCUUUGACUUUCUGAGUAUGGUUUAUUUCACUUUGAAUGAUGUUCUCCAGUUCCAUUGACUUUCCAGAAAAUGCCAUCAUUUCAUUUGUCUUAUGGCAGAGUAAAACUCCAUUGUGUAUAUAUACCACAUAUUCUUUAUUUGUUAAUCUGCUGAUGGGUACCUUGCCUGGUUCCAUAACUUUGCUAUCGUGAAUUGUGUUGCUAUAAACAUUCAUGAGUGUUUAUCACUAUAGGAUUCAGAUUUUCAGGUUUUAAAAAAAAUUUAGUUCUUUUAAAAUUUUAGUUUAGGAUAAAACCAAGGAGUGGGAUAAUUGGAUCAUAGGGUGGCUCCAUUCCUAGUCUUUCGAAAAAUCUCCAUACUGCUUUUCACAGUGGUUAUACUAAUUUGCAAUUUCACCAACAAUGUAUGAGUAUAUAUUUUCUCCCAUAUCCUUGCAAGCAUUUAUUAUUAGUUGUAUUCUUGAUGAUUGCCAUUAUAAUUUGACUGAGGUAAAAAUUUCUAUAUCGUUUUGAUUUGCAUUUCCUUGGUUGCUUGGGAUACUGAACAUUUUACAUAUUUGUCAUCCAUUCAUAUUUCUUCUUUUGAGAGGUGUCUAUUUAGUUCUUUGCUGUACUUUGAAUGCUAUCUCAGUUACUAAUUUUAAAAAAAAUUAAAUCCAUAAGUUUCUCUUGGUAUUUGUUAUUCAUUUGAAGAAAGAGAAUACUAUCUAUUAUGAGACUUUUGUGAAGAUUAAAUAAUAUAUGCAAAAUGUUUAGUUAUUGUCUUACACAUAGAAAGUGCCCAAUUAACAUUUUAAGCUCAAAGUAAGAAUGCAGAAUUUAAUGCUUUCUUUAGGUCUGGCUCCUUAAUUAGUUUUGGCUACUUGGAGUUUGAAGAGGUGGUGAACAGGUUCCUAAGGCAGCCAAGAUCCUGAUGUAAUCCUCCAGUACCAAUUCUAUCAGGGGGAGUAUCUAGGGCUUCAUCAUCCUAGAUGAAAGAUAAAUGUCCCUCAUUCAGCCUCCUACUGUGGAUAUUUAUUCCUUGUAUACAACAAGAAUAUCUGUUGGGUGAUGUGAUCUCAUAAUAGUGGCGUUUCUAGAGAUUUAGAUGAGGACACAGCAGUUUUGCAUUCAUCUCUAACAGCUAGUCAGUUAAUGCCUUAUUCUGGAUAGAAUUAGACAACCGGCAGGAGUUCUUUGGAGUCAAGAAUUCCAAACAUAAGGUAUGAAUCCCACCUGUCUUGUUAGAGGGCUGUAGUCAGUCUAACCAAUAGAAAUUUCCUGAGGCACUAUUUUAUUCCCCAAGAUAUAAAUGGAGCUAACUUUCAGAAAUGUGAGAGUGGAAUUGGGACAAAUACCUGAGAUGAUAAACUUAUAGGGAGGAAAAGUUUUUUUGGUCUAUAGUUUCAGAAGUUGCUAGUCCCUGUUUGGGAAUGUGGUACAUUAUGGCAGGGAGUGAAUGCAGGAAAAAGGCUGUUCACCUCAUGGCCACAGGGAUGGAGAUAUCUCUCUCUCUCUCUCUCUCUCUCUCUCUCUCUCUCUCUCUCUCUAUAUAUAUAUAUAUAUAUAUAUGUUUAUAUAUAUAUUUAUAUUUAUAUAUAUAUUUAUAUUUAUAUGUAUAUGUUUAUAUAUAUAUUUAUAUAUAUAUAUAUAUAUAUAUAUAUAUAGAGAGAGAGAGAGAGAGAGAGAGAGAGAGAGAGAGGUGGAUAUGGGCGGUGGGGGAGGAAAAGGAAAGGAGCCAGAGUCACAGUAUAUACUUCAUGGGAAUACCACUAGGUCUCACAUGCUUUAGAUCCUACCAUCUCCAAUGGUGUCACAAGCUGGUGACCAAGUCUUUAACACAUGGACCUUUAGGGAAUAUUUGAAUUUGAAUGGUAUUUGCAAAGGCUUUCAUCCUUGACACAUACAACCACUUAGUUGCAAAAUAUAUAAUAUGUCUAAGCCUGCUUGUCAUUUUCUUGACUAUAUAAAAAUAUUUAACUUCUGUAUGUCCUCUGUAUUGUAUUCCUAAUAAUUAUUAUCAUAAUCUACAUUGAUAUUUUGUUUUAAGGUCCUUAAGGAUAGGAGUUAGUAUCUUCUUCAAUCAAUAGUCACUGACAAAGCUAAAAGAAUUGGUCAGGAAUGGAAACAAUUCAGAUAUCUUAUAUAAUUCAUUAUAUUUUAAACAAACUGCUAUGCAACUUUAUAUAUUUUAAUAUAUUAUUCUAUAAGUGUGGAUUUUAUACAAUAUAAAUCAUUUAAUAGAUUUUGUGGAUGUUGAUGUUUUAUUCAUUGAAAAAGAAUUUCAUGCCUAGUAUUCUGGGGAAAAAUAUAAUAUUCAUUAGUUAUUUUAUUUUCCAGAUAUUAUAUUGAAAUCUUGCUGCAGGAGUAUAGAUUGAGUGCUUUUGUUGAUGUUGGACUAUACCAGUUUAGAAAUGUCUAUACUGAACAACAAACAGGAGAUGCAAUAAAUGAAGAACAAGUUAUCAAAUCCCAGUCAACAAUUAUCCAGGAAGUACAGG